CAACUAAAAAUAAUUCAAAUGAAAUUAAUUGAAAUAAAGUUAAAAUAUAAAAAGAGUUAAAAGUUACAGUGCAGAGUUAAAAUUCAAAAUCUUAUUAAAGCUGUUUAAUGAAAGGCAGCUGUAAACAGGUGUGUCUUCAACCUCGAUUUAAAAGAGCUGAGAGUUUCAGCAGACCUGCAGUUUUCUGGGAGUUUGAUCCAGAUAUAAGGAGCAUAGAAACUGAACGCUGCUUCUCCGUGUUUGGUUCUGACUCUGAGGACAAAGAGCAGACCUGUCCCAGACGACCUGAGCGGUCUGGAUGGUUCGUAAUUAAUCAGGAGGUUAAACAGAAGAGGCCCCAGGAUGGAACCUUGGGGAACUCCACAAGUCAUUUUUGUUUGCUCAGAUUUGAAGUUACCUAUAGACACAAAGAAGUCCCUGUCCUUUAAGUAGGAUUCAAACCAGUUUAGUACUGUGCCAGAAACUCCCACAAAGUUUUCCAGUCGGUCGAGUAAUAUAUUGUGGUCAACUGUGUCGAACGCAGCACUGAGAUCAAGUAAAACUAAGACUGAGGUUCUGCCACUGUCUGUGUUUAAACGGAUGUCAUUAAACUCUUUAACCAGA